GACGAACGCUGGCGGCGUGCCUAAUACAUGCAAGUCGAGCGAGCUUGCCUAGAUGAAUUUGGUGCUUGCACCAGAUGAAACUAGAUACAAGCGAGCGGCGGACGGGUGAGUAACACGUGGGUAACCUGCCCAAGAGACUGGGAUAACACCUGGAAACAGAUGCUAAUACCGGAUAACAACACUAGACGCAUGUCUAGAGUUUAAAAGAUGGUUCUGCUAUCACUCUUGGAUGGACCUGCGGUGCAUUAGCUAGUUGGUAAGGCAACGGCUUACCAAGGCAAUGAAGCAUAGCCGAGUUGAGAGACUGAUCGGCCACAUUGGGACUGAGACACGGCCCAAACUCCUACGGGAGGCAGCAGUAGGGAAUCUUCCACAAUGGACGCAAGUCUGAUGGAGCAACGCCGCGUGAGUGAAGAAGGGUUUCGGCUCGUAAAGCUCUGUUGGUAGUGAAGAAAGAUAGAGGUAGUAACUGGCCUUUAUUUGACGGUAAUUACUUAGAAAGUCACGGCUAACUACGUG
rnacentral:rRNA from 1 species